CAGGACGAACGCUGGCGGCGUGCCUAACACAUGCAAGUCGAACGAAGCUCCUGCGCGGAUUCUCGGAUGAAGCAAAGGAAGACUUAGUGGCGGACGGGUGAGUAACGCGUGAGCAACCUGCCUUUCAGAGGGGGAUAACAGUUGGAAACGACUGCUAAUACCGCAUAAUAUACAGAUGUCGCAUGGCAUUUGUAUCAAAGCUGAGGCGCUGAGAGACGGGCUCGCGUCCGAUUAGAUAGUUGGUGGGGUAACGGCCUACCAAGUCGACGAUCGGUAGCCGGACUGAGAGGUUGAACGGCCACAUUGGGACUGAGACACGGCCCAGACUCCUACGGGAGGCAGCAGUGGGGGAUAUUGCACAAUGGGCGAAAGCCCUGACGCAGCAACGCCGCGUGAGGGAAGACGGUUUUCGGAUUGUAAACCUCUGUCUUUGGUGAAGAAGGAAGUGACGGUAGCCAAGGAGGAAGCCACGGCUAACUACGUGCCAGCAGCCGC
rnacentral:rRNA from 1 species